ACAGCAGUAGCCGCGGUAAUACGUAGGUGGCAAGCGUUGUCCGGAAUUAUUGGGCGUAAAGGGCUCGCAGGCGGUUUCUUAAGUCUGAUGUGAAAGCCCCCGGCUCAACCGGGGAGGGUCAUUGGAAACUGGGAAACUUGAGUGCAGAAGAGGAGAGUGGAGUUCCACGUGUAGCGGUGAAAUGCGUAGAGAUGUGGAGGAACACCAGUGGCGAAGGCGACUCUCUGGUCUGUAACUGACGCUGAGGAGCGAAAGCGUGGGGAGCGAACAGGAUUAGAUACCCGCGUAGUCCCUGUCUCUUAUAA
rnacentral:rRNA from 1 species